GGAGGAUUACUCAAGAGGUCGAAGAGGUCGCACUCGAAAUGCGAUAGGCCGCUAAUACCGGCGCGUGGGUUCGAAUCCCAUGUCCUCCG
rnacentral:tRNA from 2 species